GUAACAUAGUGAAUGCCGAACAACAGGAAUUGGAUGAUGAUGGACAAGGGAACCAUGUGAAUGCCGAACAACUGGAUUUGGAACGUGAGCAGCAGGUUGACCCAGCUAAUUACCAGGGCCCUACUCCUGGGGAAUCUAGUGAAUGCUGAACAACUGGAAUUGGACCACUAUGG